UACAGAGGUCUCAAGCGUUGUUCGGAUUCAUUGGGCGUAAAGGGUGCGUAGGCGGCGCGGUAAGUCGGGGGUGAAAUCCUGGGGCUCAACCUCAGAAUUGCCUCCGAUACUGGCAGUCUCGAGUGCGGGAGAGGUGAGUGGAAUUCCCAGCGUAGAGGUGAAAUUCGUAGAUAUUGGGAAGAACACCAGUGGCGAAGGCGGCUCACUGGCCCGUAACUGACGCUGAGGUGCGAAAGCGUGGGGAGCAAACAGG
rnacentral:rRNA from 1 species